rnacentral:rRNA from 1 species
GAUUCUGGCUCAGGAUGAACGCUAGCUACAGGCUUAACACAUGCAAGUCGAGGGGCAUCAUGGGGUUGCUUGCAAACUCUGAUGGCGACCGGCGCACGGGUGAGUAACGCGUAUCCAACCUUCCCCCUAGUAGGGCAUAGCCCGGCGAAAGUCGGAUUAAUACCCUAUGUUGUCAGUCGAGGACAUCUGAAGUUGACUAAAGAUUCAUCGCUAGGGGAUGGGGAUGCGUCCGAUUAGGUUGCAGGCGGGGUAACGGCCCACCUGGCCGACGAUCGGUAGGGGUUCUGAGAGGAAGGUCCCCCACACUGGUACUGAGACACGGACCAGACUCCUACGGGAGGCAGCAGUGAGGAAUAUUGGUCAAUGGGCGCGAGCCUGAACCAGCCAAGUAGCGUGCAAGGAUGACGGCCCUACGGGUUGUAAACUGCUUUUAUGCGGGGAUAAAGUUCAGCACGUGUGCUGUUUUGCAGGUACCGCAUGAAUAAGGACCGGCUAAUUCCGUGCCAGCCGCGGC